ensembl:lncRNA
GGCUAUUGUGUCUGGAGCUAAGAUCCAGGUCUCAUCCCAAGGACUACUCAAGAAUCACAGUGGUGGGAAUUAAGCUCAGGGUGUUCCUUAUCCCAUCACAGCUGGAUGAGUUCUACUAUUCCUUUGACGUUCUGUUCCAUAAGUGAAGUUGAAGGGAAGAAAUUCAGUCCCCUCCUUCUGUCUGACUCAUCAUGGUGGAGAAGUUCUGACAUCAGAGUCCAGCCCCCCGGAAACGAAGCGCUGUCGCAGAUGCAGUCUGCCUUUAAAAGAAUGGCUUUGAAAACAAAACAGAAGGAACCAUUUUAUUGUUACACAAAACUUCAGUACACUCACUUAUCAGCUGAGAAGCUCUGGUCUUGGCCUCUUCAGAAGACAGCGGUGAAGGACAUCCAGAGGAGAAAGUCCCUUCUGUGCUGCUGGCAUUUUAGGAGGACGAAGGGCACAGAUCCAGCAAGCCAACUGGAUGAUGCUUGUAAGUGUGGUCACCUCCUGGGAAGGCCAGUGCUCAAGACACAUCUGGGAUGCGUGGACAUGAUAAGUGCUACGGCCAGGCACUCUGUUCAGAGGGGUUCUGUGUUAAUAGCUUGCUGCUCAAGUAAAUAGAAGAAACCCUGGAUUAACUGAGGCUCUGAAGACAUAAUAAAAUCCAGAAAUUCUUAUUUGAGUGUCACUCGGGAAAAGCUGUCUUUGAGAAAAAUGUGGUAAUUUUGCACAGGGAAAGGUGUUAAUUAAAACCACAAUGACUCCUGCUAAAGCCACAGUAAGGUACAAGCAGAUGAGAGACACUUCAAGGACAUUUGUUUGCCUCAUUAAUAACACCAUUUGUUGCCUUUAAAGUCA